ensembl:lncRNA
AACCUAUACACUACACUGGUACAGAAUUCAGUACAUACACGCAGCAACAGCAGCAAGAUCUCUUUUCUUUUCACGGGGCAGUGUGCGUGGGACAACGUCGUGACGUCACCACGCGCUCGGGCGGCGUUGGAGGUUUCCACAGUAACAGCGAGAGAAAAGAGAAUGACGCGAGCAGAGCGAACGAGCGAGUGGGCGUGGUCUUUCUCUCUCUCACUCACUGGUAGACGUGGGCGGCCCCGUGUGGUCUGGAGAACGAAACAUGACACUCAGAAACGGAGGAGAGAGAGGGGGCGACGGGGGAAAAGAGCGCACGGGGAGUGAGUGGAAAAAAAAUAAGAGGGGGGUGCCAAAAAAUAAAAAAUAAAAAGAGACAGCCAGAGAGAACAUUUAGAGAAAAGCACCAGACACUAUAGAGAUAUCUUUAUUUCUAUUGGUAUGUUUUGACCGUCAGAAUGAUGUGGUGCAGCUCCGUAACGCGACCAAACUAAUUAGUAAUUUAGCAAGUAGCGUUCAGGCCACUGGCGCCCGGAGACGCACACGGCUACACCGCGGAACUCCUCUCCCACCUCGGCUACUGUUGGAGCACAAGUGCGGUUCUUCUGGAGUAAAACAGCGUCCAGUCGAGAUCCAGAUCGAUGAGGGACGGCGGAGGAGAGGAGUAGAGUGGAGCAGAGGAUAGAAAGAAGAGACGCUGGUGGCGUGAAAGUAGCUAAACGGGUAGGGAAAAGUUAGCGAGGAGUUUGUUUGCGGCGAGCAGAGGACUGGUUAGCGGAUCCGGACUCAGGGAGACCAUGAAGACCGCGGGGGAUUCCGCUUUGAAGUUGGACAGUGCUGUCUGCCCUGUUCUGCAUACAUGAUGCUCCCAAAUGCUCAUGAUUGGCUAGUGUCAUGGUGAUUGACAGUGGAGAGCAGGUAUGCCCCUCCCACACUCAAACUCCUGGCCAUGUAUGGCUGUGACGGUCAGGAUUUGAACCCAUGAUCUCCAGGUGAUGGGGCAAUUUCUGUUGCACCUCUUGGGAUCCUGAAUCUCACUCGCAUUAGUACAUUUGUACUAUGUAAUGAUUGUGUCAGGGUGUUUAUGUGAGGUGAGGUGUGUGUGUGUGUGUGUGCGCGUUAGGUGGUCUCUUAAGUCUAUACCCAUUGGUGACUGUAAGUGUCUUUGAAGCAGGAGUCCCAUCAGAGAUCAUCGACCUCAGGGGCUGUACCUGUUAUUGUACUUAAGCCGUGUGUGUUUCUCAGCUGCAGUGUGUCGAGGUGUGGUGCAUUGCUUCAGAAUGUUGACUUGUAAAGACAGUCCUCAAAGCCCUCACAAGAGACCUAAACCUUAUUUACAGUGCCUUCCAGAAUUAGUGGCACCCUUUCAUAACAAUUGUAUAUAUUAACAUUGUACACAGUAGUUUAUUUGAAUUUUACACUCAUACAUUAGGUGAUAGUGUUGUGUGAUAUGAUGUUAAAUAUAUACGUGUGUAAUGUUAGCCAGGUCGAACACACACUGAUGUGGGGGAAGGGAGGCGCAGUCACUGUGUUGAUUGUUGAUCUGUUUUAUUAGGGAGGUAAAGAUGGCUCUCUUGUGAUGACUCGCUGCUGUUCCCUGCUGUUAAAUUGAGGAGCUGCUAUCUGAUAAUAUCGAGCAGGAACGAUAGUCAUUGCAUUGUACAAGCCUUGUACAGUCCCUCCAGGGAUAUUCGGAGGAGCUUGCAAUUUUUCGAAAUUACUGCAGAUUUUCCGCAGUCUGGGGACUAGACGUGUCAUGUGAUGUCAUCACAUCGCGCAUUCAGCCAAAAACCCUCUUUGAUUCACGUGCGUCAAACAUGAGUACAGCUAAAAGGUCUCAUUUACCAACAAACAUCACUCUAAAAGAGCAUGCAAAGCUGUUUCCUGCAACUGCAAAUUCGCUCAUUUUUAGCCUCAACAAUCACACAAAAAAAGAGACUGCUUUUAACAAACAAAAAAUCAUUAGAAUACUACAAUCAUGUGCCACAAUUAUUGAAAACCAGACGGAGUAUUUUUAAUGAAAGCAAACAGAUUAUCCUUAUUUAUAAUCAACUUUCAGUCACCAGAAACUCCAUUAGCUUUAGUCAUGUCAUUUUUCCCUGAGGUAUAAAUAUGAGGUUGCUCACAUGUAGGGACUGAAAUUUUGAUGAUGAACACAUGAAAUUUUCCCACCAGUUAAUCGAUGUGUGAGAACACCUGUAAUACCAGUAUCGCCACGAAAGCCAGUGCGGCUUUGCACAUUUUACUUUUGUUUUCGAAUUUGACAAAGUGGCUUAUAUUAAACACAGAACUUCUGAAACCAAAUCUUCCGCCAUCGUCUUGUCAGUCAGCUCGCCUCACUCUCGUCACGUGCUAAAUGAAAUGAGUCCCGCUGAUCUGAGCUGCGACUCAUUCGGCUCAUGCUGAACUGAGCAGAAAAUUCUGUUUUUAACUGUAGCAUCCAUUCUCUAACUGAACUAAAUGAAUUUUAUUACUAUAAAAAGGCAAAACCUCGACACGGAAUUGGUGUGCAGGCCGGACACCAUGUAACGCAGACUAUCACAGCAAGCCUACUCACACACAAACCUACAAACCUUCAUUGCUCCAAAUGAGAAGCGAGUGGGAAUUCUCAUUGUACAUGAAGUCCUGUGCACAACUUUAAAUAUUAACACACUUCAACAACAACACGAUCUGUUUCUGUCUGUUCUAAUAACCACUUUUAAACCGACUGACAUCUGAACCAGCUACAUCACAGCUUAUAAAUGAUCGCCUAGCAGCGGCGCUGGUCAGACCCACACCAGCCUGCUGACUUUUUCUUCCACAGAACAUUUUGCGGCCACUUCGCAGUGAAAUGUCAGACAUCCACAGAUGAAAAUGCAGAAAUUCAUUCUCCCUUUUUUUUUUUUUUUUUUUUUUUUUUUUGGUGUAAUGCAUUUUCAGUAGUAGCGUUUUCACCGUUAUCCAAGCGCUCCUUCACCAUAGAUGCGUCACAUUUCUGCCAGCUGGAAGACGACUUGCUGUUGCCCUAAAUCACAAGCCAAGCUCAAACUCACGACCUGUGUGACAAAUACAGUACUGCAUGACCUAUAAUGUAAUAAAAAUCAAAUUGUGCUAGUGUUUAGUUUGAUUCAGUGAUUAACCCCAAAUCCCAAAAAUGUAUCACCCAAUGUAGAGACCUACAGAUAUGUUUUAAAGGAGAGAAAAAAGUUGAUGGAGCACAAAGUCAAGGACAUUAAUCUUAGCAAGAGAUAAUCCCAUGAGAGUUCUCCUUCAAUCUCUUUCUUAACGAGAUAGAUUUCAGAUAUUUGGAAAACACACAUGUAAAACAUGUGAGCGAUUCCUUACCUUUUAAAGAAAUAAAGUUCUUACCAGAAGAACAAACCCAUUUUUAAUUUAGUCCAUGUAUGUCUGUAUUUUACUGAAUUAAUGUGUUCUAGUAGACAUUAGAAGGAAAUUGCCAAGUUUAUCCACAACAUAUGAGGUGUGCACCAAUACUACAAUGACAUUUUCAUCCAGCCGUAUUUCAUGUUUUCAAAAGAGGGUUCAAAAACCUCUUCUUUUUUUUUUUUCUUUUUUUUUUAAGAAAAAUACCUUUAUAUUAGCAAUAAGCAUUUUGCAGAAAGAUGGACAAAUGUCUGAGAAAUAAAUGCACUCACUGUCAUAACAGCAAUGCCUUUUGAAUUUAUACGGGCAGUAUUUAGGACGUCACUGCUUCAGUGCUGUAAAGUUCUCAAGAUUAAGUUUAUAUCACAUGAUAAUUGCAAAUAGAAAUAACUUUCUGCACAAAGUUAUAUUGCUAAUUAUCAUCAAUAACCCGUCUCCCUUCUUUGCUCUGAACAAGCAUCAUAAUGCGCUACGGAUGCUUCGUAUUAAAUCGUGUAUGCAUAUAAGUCAAACAACAUGGUAAACAAAUGUGCACUGGUGAUAUUACUGUGAUCCGUUUCAGGCUUACUGUAAAUCGUGAUGUUUUAGAUAAACGGCUGUGUGCAUAUGUUCACUCAGCUGAUCGCUUCCACCCAACAUUAAAGGACGCGCAUCUCGCCUCUCGUGUUUUUCCCCCUCGAGCUUUUUCGCGCGUGUGAUCAAGAAGAGUCAUUUCUGACGUGAUUGCAGAUCUUCACUUUUCAGGUAGAAUCUCCAUGUUAUUUACACAAAUUGUAAGUCUCUUCAUAUCAUUUACAUAUGUGCAUUUUUCUUUCGAAAGAACUGGAUCAAUUACAGUAAAAUUUAAACACCAUAGGGAACACUGUGGCCAUGAAGUGAAUGGCCAUUAUGAAAGGCUCAGUGUAGUCAGUUUUUAACUUUAAAAAAUGUUUUAAUUUAUUAUAGUAUAAUUUUAUCAAUGUUUGCAACAGUAAUCAAUAUAAUAAAACACCAAAUAAAAUGAUAUACAGUAACAUUUAAGAUAUAUACGGCUCAUCUUAAAGCACAAUGACAAACUAAUGCUGAAAGACGAAAGGUAUUCAGAGAGCGGAAGAGGAAUGAUGACAACUAAGGAAAGGAAAAAGAAAAAAGGCAGAGAGACUAAGAAAGAAAGAAACAGAAACAAAACAGGAGGCCAAGAAAGACAGGGAGCUUGCUAGACAAAGGCAGAGGGAAAAGGCGUUUGCUCAAGAAGUCACAAGUUCCAGUUUUACUCCAGGAUUUUCCAAAGAAAUCACCAUAUAAAUCAAGACAGUCUCUAGGCAAGGCAAUAAAACGAGCACUCCGAGCUAUACCAAGCAGCCCUCGCAAAAAAAGUAGUUAUAAAAAAAAAACAAGUUGGCAUGUCACUAUGCGUUCUUCCAGAGGGAAAUAAAAAUAAUAAAGCAUGUGAUUGCCACAAGUACUGUUGAUCAUGUUUGGGAAUUCUAUGAAAGAGAUGACAUUUGAAGGCAAGCACCAGGGAUGAGAGAUGUGGUCAUGGUUAGAGAGGGAGGAGUUUAAAAAAAAAAAAAAAAAGAUGAUUCAGAAACUGCAUUGGACAUGGUCAAUUAUAGAGGCCUACUGUUGUUUCAAAAGUGAACAUCUAGAGCCGAUUGGAAAAUUUGAAAUAUGUCUAAAUACGUUGAGCUCCGACCGGCUUGUGUGUUCCGGUGUUCAUACACUCCAAGAAAUGUUUGCCUUUGCCGAUACCAUGAAAAUAUGAAGUUAGCCCUUGACUGUGUGCAACAUGUUAUCCCAAGGCAAGCAUUUCAGAACACACAGGAUUUUAUUGAAGCUGCG